rnacentral:rRNA from 1 species
AGUGAACGCUGGCGGUAGGCCUAACACAUGCAAGUCGAACGGCAGCACAGUAAGAGCUUGCUCUUACGGGUGGCGAGUGGCGGACGGGUGAGGAAUACAUCGGAAUCUACUUUUUCGUGGGGGAUAACGUAGGGAAACUUACGCUAAUACCGCAUACGACCUACGGGUGAAAGCAGGGGAUCUUCGGACCUUGCGCGAUUGAAUGAGCCGAUGUCGGAUUAGCUAGUUGGCAGGGUAAAGGCCCACCAAGGCGACGAUCCGUAGCUGGUCUGAGAGGAUGAUCAGCCACACUGGAACUGAGACACGGUCCAGACUCCUACGGGAGGCAGCAGUGGGGAAUAUUGGACAGUGGGCGCAAGCCUGGUCCAGCCAUACCGCGUGGGUGAAGAAGGCCUUCGGGUUGUAAAGCCCUUUUGUUGGGAAAGAAAAGCAGCAGGUUAAUACCCCGCUGUUCUGACGGUACCCAAAGAAUAAGCACCGGCUAACUUCGG